rnacentral:lncRNA from 1 species
CUAAUCCCCAAGGGCCCUUUUUAUCCAGGGAAUAGCAUUUCAAGGUUCAGUGGAGGAGAACCCCAAGAGCACCAAAAUGGAAAGAUGAUUUGUAAAGCUGAGGAAAAUGUCCAGCUGUGUUUUUAUGAGGACUCUCACUGCACUGAUAUGACAGAUGACACCUUCCCUCAACACUGUUCAUCAUUGACUGCUGAGGGCUCCUUCUUCAGUUUAUAACAGGAUGGUAACUUCAUAAGCAAUGUAGGACUUUCACAGGGUUCCACACGAAGCGUGUCUGGAUAAUUCAGCCAAGCUCUUCAGUCUCCAGCAGUGAUGGAAUCAGGAGCUCGCUUGGCCAGCCCUCUAAUGACUCAGUCACAGGGUCAUCCACUUGGGGGUGUGAGGAGAGGAGGCUUCUCCCCGCAAGUGCUUUCGGGGUGAUGCCGUAGAUUCUUUGUACCUCAGGAGUUACUUUUGCAAUUAGAGGUUCUCUCUCUCUCUUGGUAUUUUAUGCAUCUAAUUCUGCUUUUCUAUGCAUGAGUCUUGUCGGAUUCAGGCACAGCAAUAAGUCUCCAAAAUAGGGUCAGAGUGAGUUUAAUGAAGAAGUUAUUGUUUUCUUAAGGAUGAAAAUAAACAGAGAGAAUGCCUUAUUACAUAAUCAAUAACGUCGGCCUCUUGAUUAAAACACAAAUGCAAUUUAGCCCGAAAUUAUUCUCUAGUUUGAUGUUCUACAAAAUUAGAUUACGAUAAUAAAUGAUUGGACCUCUUAAGCACAGGCAGGUGUCCACACGCUGAUAGCCUCUGGAGGAGCAGGCUUCCCAAUCCGGAUUUCCUACGGAUGAAAGUUUAGGAAGAUGUAGUACUGAUCCCAACAUCUCACUCAUAGUUUCUGCAAUUAUUAAAGGCUAAAAGACAACACACAUAAUGGAAAAGCUUAGACUUUUGGAAUCGGAGGCUGGAUUUAGAUACUAGUUUCUCUGCUUAAUCAGCUGUGCAAAUUUUGUUUCAAGUUACUUAAUCUUUCUGAGCCUGUU